AAAAUUCGAACCUGUGACUAUUAAUCUACAAGUUAGAGCACUUCCAGCAGUUUGCCUUUUGCCAUGGCAAGGGGGGCUAGGGCAGUUACUAUUCACGUGAAUAGUGGCUACUCUUGCAAAAAACAAUGUGUGUUUCCAGCAAUUGCCCUUUGCCAUGACAAAUACUAUUCUUUUUUUAUUUUUUUCACAAAUGUUUUUACCUAAACAAUUAAUUUGGAUAAGAUUUUC
rnacentral:lncRNA from 1 species